rnacentral:lncRNA from 1 species
GCCAAGUGGAAAUCUUUACCUGCACAUCUACUGAACACCCCCUUAUUAGAUUAGUCCAUGAUCUAGUCUACCAAGGUUUGGGGGGACCCUAACUGUCAUCCAGUAGGCUAACUAUUUCUCUGAACCUAAUAUCACCAGGAAAUAUAAUGUACCAUCUAUGCUUUUAAUGGAGUCAUCGAUAAAAUUACAAAACAACACAGGGUCAACCCAGGUCUUUGGGCCAAUCUACUACAAGCUGGUUCAGACCUUGAUCCAUGGAGAAGUGGGAACCAGGACUUGUACCCAAAUAGAAGAAGGCAUAAACUGGUAAAGACUUCCCUGGCAGAUAUAAGUCGUAACAAUGUUUUCAAGAUGAGGACACGAGGAUGGAUGGCACAGAGGUUGUAACCCUGGAAGUACAAAAGGAUGCUGGUACCCUCAACAGAAACAGAGAAGUUCAGAAAAGGAGAACAUAUAGUGAGUUCAGUUUCACUUUUCUUUUCUUUCCUUUUCUUUUUUUGUAAUUAAAACCCUUACCUUCUGUCUUAGAAUCAAUACUGUGUAUUUGUUCCAAGGAAGAAGAACAGUAAGGGCUAGGCAAUGGGGGUUAAGUGACUUGCCCAGGGUCACACAGC